GUCCACGCCGUAAACGAUGGAUGCUAGAUGUCGUGGGUAUUGACCCCUACGGUAUCGCAGCUAACGCAUUAAGCAUCCCGCCUGGGGAGUACGGUCGCAAGGCUAAAACUCAAAGGAAUUGACGGGGGCCCGCACAAGCGGUGGAGCAUGUGGUUCAAUUCGACGCAACGCGAAGAACCUUACCUGGGUUAAAUCCACUGGAACCCCGCAGAGAUGUGGGAGUGCUCGCAAGAGAGCCAGUGAGAAGGUGCUGCAUGGCUGUCGU
rnacentral:rRNA from 1 species